UUUACCAGCUGAAACAUUAAAGUGAUGUACACACAUUGAUGCAUCAAUAACUAUAAUCCAAUAUUAUAAUAUACAUUUUUCUGAAACAGGCCAUUCUG